UACAGAGGGGGCAAGCGUUGUCCGGAAUUACUGGGCGUACAGCGUGCGCAGGCGGUUUCGCAAGUCAGAUGUGAAAGCCCCGGGCUCAACCUGGGAAUUGCAUUUGAAACUACGAGGCUAGAGUGUGUCAGAGGGGGGUAGAAUUCCACGUGUAGCAGUGAAAUGCGUAGAGAUGUGGAGGAAUACCGAUGGCGAAGGCAGCCCCCUGGGAUAACACUGACGCUCAUGCACGAAAGCGUGGGGAGCAAACAGG
rnacentral:rRNA from 1 species